AAUAGCUCAAUCGUUCGAAAGUUCGACUUUCGAAGCAAGAGGUAGGCGGUUCGAAUCUCGCAAUG
rnacentral:tRNA from 1 species